AAGAGGGAGGUGGAGCUCUCGUGCGAGUACGAGGGUGGAGUGACGGAGACAAAAAGAUAGCGACAGAGAGAGGAGGGAAAAAAAGUAAGGUGUGCGUAACGUAACGUAACGCAAGGUAACGUGUCGCGUCGUGCCGUGUCGUGUCGUUUCGUGUCACGACAAC